GUGCAUACCUGGCAAAGUUGAUACAAUGAGCAGAAAGAAAGCUUUUUUUCCAGGGAGAGGUUUACAUAUAAGAGUCCGAAUAUGAUUGUCCCUGGAUUUCUCUCAAAUGUAGGAAAUUUGAUACAGUAAUUUUUGGUAUUGAGGAAUUGUGUUCUUGCUAUCCUCU